CAAUCAUUUGGACUACAUUUCCCAUGACAGUCAGCUUACCGCUGUUCCUCUACUUGUCACUGACUAUAUUUGCGUAACAUUUCCAGUUUGCUGUGUGAAAUGCAGUGGGGAGUUAAGAUCUGAUGCUUACCAGCUGCGAAGGUAACGCAUUUUACAAUUUGUCACUAGUUUUCAUCAUCAGUGAAGAUAUAAAGUGACAAUUGAAUUUGUGUUCCUAAUUGGGG